GUACAGACCCCAGAUGCUGUUCAUAAGCUUGCUGUUGUACUUGAGCGGUGUCAGCUCCCAUCCUGUGCAUACAUUUUCAUGUUCUUUCUUUCUUCUCUAUCGUGGAUUUUGAAAUAAUGCGUUCCUCAUUACAACGAACUUUGCACGCUGCAAAAGCACCCUGCGGAAUAGUAGCCAUUUUUUCACAAUCUGCAAGAAAUGCGGAAAAUGCAAGAAGAUACAUUCAAAAUCGAAGAGAUGCUUAAAGAUCCAUGGAAAACGCAGUGUUUUCUUUCGCCAAACGUUUUCUACAUUAUUUUCACCGAAUCCA